rnacentral:rRNA from 1 species
UCCGACUGCUAUCCGGGUAAGACUAAGCCAUGCCAGUUGAAUGGAAUCGCAGAUUCCAUGGCAUACUGCUCAGUAACAAGUGAUCAACUUACCCUGCAGAGGGGUAUAACCUCGGGAAACUGAGGCUAAUUCCCCAUAGUUGGAGCGGCCUGGAAUGGUGCUCCAUCGAAAGAUACAGCGUUAUGUCGCUGAUUCACUGCAGGAUAGGAUCGCUCUCGAUUACGGUAGUUGGUGAGGUAAUGGCUCACCAAGCCUAUGAUCGAUAAGGGCCGUGAGAGCGGGAGCCCUGAGAUGGAUACUGAGACAAUGAUCCAGGCCUUACGAGGCGCAGCAGGCGCGAAACCUUUACAAUGCACGCAAGUGCGAUAAGGUUACCCGGAGUGCCGAGAGAAAAACUGUCGGCUGUUAUAGGUGUGUAAACUACCCUAUGAGAAAGGAGAGGGCAAGGCUGGUGCCAGCCGCCGCGGUAAAACCAGCUCUUCAAGUGGUCGGGACUUUUAUUGGGCUUAAAGUGUCCGUAGCCGGUUAGAUAAGUUCCUGGUUAAAUCUGGCAGCUUAACUGUCAGUUCGCUAGGAAUACUAUCUUACUAGAGGGUGGGAGAGGUUUGAGGUACUCCAGGGGUAGCGGUGAAAUGCGAUAAUCCUUGGGGGACCACCAGUGGCGAAGGCGUCAGACUGGAACACGCCUGACGGUGAGGGACGAAAGCCAGGGGAGCGAACGGGAUUAGAUACCCCGGUAGUCCUGGCCGUAAACGAUGCGUGCUAGGUGUUGGUAGGGCUUGGAGCUGUAUCAGUGCCAAAGGGAAACUGUUAAGCGCGCCGCCUGGGAAGUACGCUCGCAAGAGUGAAAC